rnacentral:rRNA from 1 species
UCCACGCCGUAAACGAUGCACACUAGUUGUUGGGAUGCUAGACAUCCCAGUAACGCAGUUAACACAUUAAGUGUGCCGCCUGGGGAGUACGGUCGCAAGAUUAAAACUCAAAGGAAUAGACGGGGACCCGCACAAGCGGUGGAGCAUGUGGUUUAAUUCGACGAUACGCGAAGAACCUUACCUGGUCUUGACAUAGUAAGAAUCUUUUAGAGAUAGAAGAGUGCUGCUUGCAG